UCCAGAUGCGACGGAUGGAGAGGUGGUGACAGCCGGCGAUGGGAACAAUUCAGCCCCAUCGGCACCGGACGCUGAAUAGGAUGACGUCGAGCGGCGCUGGACACGGGGAAGGAAGCGAAGGCCGGGCAUGACACCGCAUCGCUGCCCGCAACGGACACCCACUGCGUUUCCAAUCACGAGUUAGGAGAUCACGUCGCUUUUAUUUUUUUUUAACGCUCGUUGGCACGAACCGUCUGCGAUUUGACGGUGUUUGCCACGUGCACCCCACCAACCUUCGCCUCCUUUUGUCGCUCGUCGCGUCACAAGGUCGCUGACGUUGCGGGGAGCGCGGCGAUUCGAUUCGUUUGGCUCCGUCACGUGGCAAUGGCGCAGGAGCAGCAGGAGGAGGAGGAGGGUUACACGACACACAUUUGGCCAGAUCUAUGUCACGUGGCCCCAACUCGAAAUGCGCAUCGCCUUGAAUAGAAUUAGAAUGCGAAUCGUGGAAUCGGUGUGGGUACGGCGGCGGCUGGGGGAGGACGAAUUUAGAAUCUUGCACCGGGGAAUAAAAAAAUGUCGUAGUUAAUUAUCCUAACCGUUUUAGCGAAAUAAAACAGCACUUAGUUUAACACGUCGGCUUUCGCGACCAACAUCAGCGCUUCCGUUUCCUCCUACACACAAGCAUUCAACAAUUGGCCAAGUAACAACUUCAUACAUAGAGGACCGCAGAGCUUGGAGGGACGGACGGUGUGGGGGGGGAGGUAGCAUUUGGCGCGUUCCAAGUUGAAAUUAUGAUUAUUGUUAACAUUCGUCAUUGGAACGCCAGUGAGUGUAAAUUGCGGGUUGUACACGCAGUGUGUGUUUGUGUGUUCGCGUGUUCCAUUUAUACUGAACGCUCGCCAUGAGUGACCGUAGUCUACGUGCGGGCAGUUACUCCGCGAUGUGGAUUUCAUGUGAAGUCGUCCUCGUCAUCCCAUCGGCAGUGACUCCGCGUGUGGCGUUGAGGAAUGGGUGAGUGGGCAGAUGCUUUAACGAAACGCGUACAGUCUGGUACAUCCCUGUCAACCCCUUGUCAGCGCCCUACCUUGUUAGAGACCAAUUCAGACCGUAUUGGUCACCCCGUGUGCCUUAUACAUCUCAACGUUCAUCCUACAAAGUUCCAUCACGAGGGAGAAACACAAACACAUUUCUCUCAAAUGUAGUUCUACCUGAUGAUGGUUGCUUGUGUUGCAAUCGAAACGUCGUACUCUAUUAUUAAAUUUAUUUUCUUUCUACGUGACCUUACCAAAAGAACCAACGAGUAAUUCCUGCAGUCACGAAAGAUUCAAAUCAAGUUACAAACAAAUACAUUAUUUUUUUGCCUGUAUUGAAACGGCUGUACACCGUAUGGCCCUGAAAUACUCAAUUUUCCUGUACAAGAACACGGGGUGAACCGUGUGGGUUGACAGGUAUGCUGGUAUGUCAAUCCACUGCUGGAUGAGGGCAUCCCCCCACGCCGUGCCGGGUCGUGGGGGCUGCAUGACCAUACUUCACCACACUGGUCUCUGGGGGUUGAAGGCGUGGGAGCGCAGAUGUUGGAGCAUGCUACAGUACAACAAUCGAUUUCACUGGUCAACACAUUUUUUCUGGCAUAAGGUAUUCCAACGGUUUUAAUGUAAUUUUGGGGUGCUGAUUCCAAAUUUGGCAUCAGUUUUUGUCUAUCAAAUAUAGCAUUUUCAAUUAAAACUGCAGAAGAAAAAUAUUCAAUAAAUGUGGAUAUCUACAUAAAAUGAUAUUAUAAACACACUAUCCUAAAAAUACAGCACCAUAUUAUAACACUAAAGCAGUCACUGACUCGCAACAACUUGCAAUCAUAAGUGACAGAGUUAAUUUCUGGUAAAAUCUAUGAAAAUGGGGUAUGCCGAUAGCAUAAAAAUGAGAUGUGAUAGAGCAAAUCUGAGAUCAGAUUUGGAAUCAGCACCCUAAAAUUAGUCUAAAACAGCUGCAAAAGUCCAGGCCAGAAUUUUUUUUUCCCGCUGCCCACAAUGUAGCCCCCCCCCCCAGCAAGCCUAUAGCACCCGUUAUGCAUGGUGUUCGCCAAUCCACGCAUUAAGCAGGGAGGGAAAAAACCCCGACGAGAUUGCGUGCAUUAAACUCUCGCUUAUUUUACCAGGUAAGGCCCCGACUGAGCUAAGCAGCCUGGCUGCCACAAAUUGACAGCCCGACACAGAGGGCUUACCACGUGAACAUUUAUAGCAGCCAAAUACUCUCAACGCGUGAUGUUGAUUCUCAAUCAUUUAGAGGGCAAAAAUCGGAUGGACACUGUAGAGAAACCACGCUACCACGGGGAGAGAGAAGUCAGGGUGGGGAUCGAACCCCCGACCUCCUGAAUACCAGGCGAGGUAGUGAACAUUUCGCCACCGUGGCCAGAUUUUAUGAAGGCGAAACGCAUCCAAGUCUCCCAUAAUGCAAUUCUUAGAGGCCUAACAGCCAAAAGCUUUAAGUGAAAUGCCAGUGAAUGAAAUGUAACAUUUCUGAUAGAAGUAAUGAGCCAUUCGUAUCGAUAGUAUAGUAAUAUGAAUGCAAUUUUUCAAACUACUUUUCCCAGUUGAGUUUUUAAAUCGGGUGCUCUCCCUGCAUCUUAACUGCUGGUCAGUUUAACCAACGAUCUGGGGGAGUGGUGGCGCCGUGGUUAGUGCACUGCACUAUGAACCCGGCCACAUGAGUUUGAUUCCUGUUCCAAAGAUAACGUCAAUGGUAAGUGACAUCGGUGCUAGUUCUAGGCUCCCCACUUCCCAAACCCGCAGUGACCAGUGUGGUGAAGUAUGGUCAAACAACCCCCAUGGCCGAAAGAUUCGGAACAAGGGUCUUCAUCCAGCAGUGGAUUUAUAAAGGACUGUAGAUGGCUAUUAUUGUUAUUUUUCAAACUUAAUCCUGACCAUUAACUCACACGUGUACGUAUGGGGUUCUUUUUGUCUGCACGCAACGGCCGUCCAACUCACGCCAACGAUAGAUGUCCAAGUAUAAUCAUGUCCAUCUAUGUGGAGGACGCUCGGACGAUAUAGUAGGGCAAACUUUGGGAACAGAACGUAGCAAGAAAGUUCCACGGACGUAAUCAGGAGGAGGUUGUGAUGGAUGGAUGGGGCACGUGUCCAGGGUGGAGGAUAGGGUCAUCAGCUUGGAGGCGGCGAAUAGGUGGUGGCACCACAGCGUCGUAGAUGUAAUCACGAGGAGGAUGAGGAGGUUGUGAUGGAUGGGACAUGCGUGCAGGGUGGAGGAGACCAGGGAAAGCGAGGCGAGCGGUGGUGGAGCGGUUAGCGCGCUGCGCUGCGAACCCGGCGACCCGAGUUCGAUUGCCGCUCACGGCCAACACCGGUGACGAUUAUCUGAACUCGUUCUGGGUCCUUCCCCAAGGUUGACUCAGCCUCAAGUUAGUACCUGGUGCUGUGUGUAAACAUCGCUACUAGGGAGUCAAAGGCGGCCGGGCUUGGUGUUGGCAACCAAUCAUCUCGUGUGCCGUGCCGGCCUUCAUAGGUGCUCGCUAACAGCACUUGUCCCAACAGUAUGUUAAGGCUAUACGGGAGAUCUUUGUCUUUCGAGAGUAGUCUACCGAGAUUGGACACUGGAGUGGCACCCAGAGGUCAGCUACCCAGGGGUCGGGAAGAUCUAAAGCCAGACGCUGGUGGUGGUCAUGCAUGAGACUAGGAGGUCAAACUUUGGAGGUCAGCUGUGGGAAGUGACCGAUGCGGGGAGUCCUCGCGCCGAUGACAACUGGCCGAGACGACCUCUUGACUUCACAAGGGAAAGCCUCAUCGGGUCUCAAAACCGCUUUCGGGAGGGUCCUGCCCCGAGACGUUUGGCCAAAUCGCCGAUUGUUGAUUUGAUUUGUUUGGGUGGCGUGUGCGUGGCUACGGGACGGCGUUGUCCCCGCUGCCUCGCCGCGUGAGGUGCGGUGGUGUGAGGGUCGACGCUCAAAAUGUAAGCGGGGAACCUUCUCCGAAUGACCGCUCUGGUGGGAUUGGGAACCCAAGCGGAGGCCCCCGGGGAAAUGAUCUGGAAUCGUUCUCGCGAGAAGUCAGUCCGCUGACGGUGCCGCGAUUGGCACCCGUACGAACGUACGUCGCGCGGUUUUAAAAAUAAGAAAAAAAUAUAUUGUUUUAUGAUAUGACUUCAAUUUAACUUAAAUGGCGAUCGUUAUUAAUAGGUCGUGGUUGAUCGGAAAUUAAGAGUUGAGAUUUUAACGCAUUAGGCGAUAUAUCAGAGUGUGUGUGUGUGUGUACGCGUGUCUUCAGCAGGCCCGGACAAUCUGUUUAGAUUUCAUUGCAUUGCGACACGCAACAGCUCGUGUCGACACCAAAAACUCUAGACUCUCUAGGAAGAAUACCCCUAAAGUAACACCUCCGAAUCACCCCCCGCCGUCAAUACAUUUGUACUGAGCUGAUACAACAUUGCACACUCUCACAUGCGCGCGCGGGGUUUGGGGGAUAACAAACAUUUGGCCUUUGGGAUAUUUUCUCAGCAUCACGCGGCGGCUUACGGAUGCACUGAAAAGUACAAAUUGUCAUGAGUUUUGAUUUAAAGCUUUCGUGACUGCAGGGAUUCAUCUUCUUGGUUCUUUCGGUAAAGUCACGUAGAAGGGAAAAAAUAAAAUAAUAAAACAUAAUAAAAAUAAUAAAAUAAUAGAAUAGAAUAAAAGAAUAUAAUAAUAGAAGAUAAUAAAAAAAUAUAAGAAUAUAAUGUUUUAUUUUUAUUAUUUUAUUAUUUUUAUUCUACGUGACUUUACCGAAAGAACCAAGAAGAUUGUCAUGAGUGUUUUGUCAAAGUCUCAUUUCCAUCGCACAUCGUGGCACGGACGGAGGCCCGUUUUAUUGAAGCUACGAAGGUGUCUAGCUCCACGGCUGGGGGUCGGAAUAGAAGCAAAUUGCAGGAGAAGUUACAUCAGUCGAAGUUACAUUUGUUCCUGGGCUAAUGUGGCACCAAAGCGAGGUGUCUUGUCACAGCAGAGAGGAUCGUCGUCGUCGUCAUUACAUAAUCACUCGCAGUAAAUACAACUAGCUUCAUCAGGCGACAGCCCGAUCUGGUGUGCUGUACUAGUGACGAAUUGGCACGUUCUGUUUACGUGACAACCCUUACUAGUUGGCUGUGUCGGGUAGUGGCGGGUUUUAACGACACAUUUAUAUAUUUACGCGAUUUAACCCAAAAAAAAAACUCUCAUGGAGAAACAGCAGAGCCCUCGUCCCCGUCCACUCGUUGCUUUUAUUCGCCAGGCCACAGAAAUGUUCCAUCAGCCACUCUCAGGACGACAUCGUCGGCAGUUUAAUCACAACUGGUGAGAGCACAUCGUGAUCCCGGGGUAAUUAUGCUAAAGCCCAUGCAAGCGCGAUAAUGACUCAUAAUUGGCUCUCGCAGAUGACACGGGUUGAUUGAUACAAUCAGACUGUACAGGCUUGGAGAUUUCAUUAAAAUAUACGUGUUGUUGUU